ensembl:lncRNA
AUUUUAUUCCUGCAGAUAAAAUUGUUGUUGUUUUUUUUCUUUUAUUGUGUGUCAUCAGUUUCCCAGCUUGCCUUGGCUUUGGUAGUGGAGGUGAAUGAGGGAGAAGGGUCUGUCCCAUUGCCCUGUCAGUACUCAGGUUUUAUACCUGAGGACAAUCCCACGGUGCUGUGGACUCGUGAUGAUCUGGAUCCAAAAUCUGUCCACAUACGACGAGAAGGAGGAGACGAUCUUAGAGGACAAAACCAGCUUUACAGCGGACGCACAUCAUUGAAGCCUGAUGCUCUCGACUCGUUAGACUUCAGUCUCACUCUGAGAAAACCAACAAAGGCUGACAGCGGCAACUACACCUGCUCCAUCAGCAAUGGGAGAGAAGAACUCAGACUGAGAAACAUACAGCUGCAGGUCAAAGACCAGCAGGUGGAGGUGGGGGUGGAGGAAGGCUCAGAGUCUGUCCUCCUGCCCUGCAAAACAAAACCUGACCUGCCUGAGGACACAAGAGUGGAGUGGACUCGCUCUGACCUCAUGAUGGUCCGUGUGUAUCCAAACAGAAGCGACCUCCUUAAAAAACAGGACAACCUUUACAGAGAUCGAACAAAGAUGAACAAAGACCUGCUGAGAACUGGAGACCUCAGUCUGACCCUGAAAUACCCCACAGACUGGGACACAGGAGGAUACAUCUGCACCAUCUACAGGGACGAAGACAUCCUGAGACAGAAAGUCGUGCUGCAGGUCAAAGGUCAGCAACAAUUACAUGCUGUAGAUACAUCUGACAUCACUAAGUUGAAAAUUCAUUUUAACAUUUCAGAAUAACCAUGGUGGCUCUUUGAUUGAAAUGUGGGCCUCUUCAUUAAAUUCAUUAUUUUGAUUCAGUCAGAGCUGCAAGGUCAUGCUGUUCAUUGUGUUUGUCCACAGAACAGUUUCCAUUCUGGACUGUAGUUCUCCUGAUUCUCCUGGUUCUCCUGGUGGUUCUUGUGGUUUCUGGAGGUCUUUUAUUUCAUUUCCGGCACUAUUUCAUGUCAGGUGAGUGUCUCCUACUACACUACCCAUGAUGCCGAUGGUUAGCAGGUGUCCUCUGGUGGCUCCUUGACUGUGGCUCACACAAACUUGUUCCAGAAGCUGAAAGAGUUGAGAGUUACAAACAGCUGAUACAGAGAGCUGAAGAGAAACUUCCAGGUUUGUUCCAGAAGUCAGAAAACCUCCUUCAGACUCAGUCAUUGAUCAGUGAAACAGCUCCACAACAUGACUUUACUAAACAGUGUGUGUAAAUAACAAUUAGCUUAUGUUGGUCAUGAGACUAAAGUCAUCUCACUUUUGUAAUGUAAAUAUAAUAUGGCCAAUAUUAUAUUUAUUAUUAGAUUAUUAUGAUUUUUUACAGCAGUGAGCUUGAACUCUGUGACAAAUGAGCUUCAGUAAAGAUUCAAGUUGCAGUUGUUUAUAUUUGCUAUCACCUUAAAUCUCCACUCAAAGACAAGUGUCUUUGACAGUGUAUAUACAGAUGUAUUAUAUAUAAGAGACAAAUAUUGUCCGUCUAAUAUGUUGGCAUUAUUAAAUUUGGCUCAAUGCUUACAUAUAUGUGUAAAAAGGAAAAUGUACGAGCUGUGAUAACUGUUUCUGAUAGAAUGAAGAUCAGACUGAUAUAUUAAAUAUUCCUUUAUUGGGUGAGAAAAUCAGAGCAUGUCAUAACUGCUUUAAGUCAUACAGAAUAGAUAUCAGAGCCUUAAACAGGCCGACUUCUGCUAAAUGGGUCAAACUGGGCAGAAAGUAAACAAACACAUAACAUCCUUAUAGAAUAUGAUGUAACACUAUAGAUCAACUUACCUCAGAAUAUAUAAAGCAUAUAAACAAUUACAGCAAUAUGAUGCAACAAACACAGCAGUACUACUAAUCCAAAAUACUCAAAGCUUCAUAGAACUGAAACAAACAUUUAUUUUUAGCUCCAUUCUGCUGCUGAUACAUACUGUGGCGAGCUCAGACACGGAGGAGACAAGGUUUCUUUGGAGCACAGCCGUUUAUUAGCCUCAGGCCGAAGAACACUGCCACGAGCUAACUGCCAGCGCGGCUAAAAACAGAACAACAACACACAGGGCGCCCUCUGACCCCGGAAGGCCACCUAGUCGCAGCGAGAGGGCGUCACUUGUCACCAAGGCAACAUAAACAAACAUAACUGCAAAACAGAACACAAAUGUCCAUAACAAAUCGCCGAACAGCCCUGGCCCGCUACAAUACUUUAGGUUUCUGAACAUUAAACUUGUUGCUGCCUUUCAUAGUGUGUAACUUGAAGGCCCUGAGUACUUUCUCCCACACUGAAAACACUGGAAUGAUAACAUUAUUUGAACAUUACCUAAUAAGACUGAUUCAGGACAGACAAUUAGUUAUUUUAAACUUUCCUAGCAGUCCUUCACAAACAGGGAACAGUCUGUCUAUUCUCUCCAUCUGUCAGCUGCUGCUGGCUCUUCCUCCUCCUCUUCCUCACACGUGUUUUUUUUUUUUUAUUUUCCUUUCUCUCACCCUCUCUCUCGCACUUUUUUCCCGCUUUACUCCGCACGCCAGCCUUGUGCUUUGCGCUGGGCAGAGGGGGGAGGGGCGGUAGUUACACUCUCAGUAGCACAGGAACAGAGCGGGAGGGAAAGAGAGAAAAAGAGAGCCAGGGACAACAACAAGAGACCACAUUGUCACAUUAGAAAGGUAUAGUAAUCAUCCACAACUAUUUCCAGUUGCGGAUCUGAUUUUUGUUUUGCAUAUUUUAAUUUAUAUUUAAUUGUGUUGUGGUUUGCA